rfam:Asian citrus Psyllid, Diaphorina citri - Florida Strain, whole genome shotgun sequence.
GCGAAUCGGCGAUAGCAAGUUGAAUACGCAGGUUCCCAAUGAUUCACUGAAGUUAAGCAACGCUGCGCGUGGUACGGGUGACCAUCUGGACUAUCGCGUGCUGCUGGCU